GAUUCAAGAAUUGCAUCAUUGUAAUUUAUAGGAUUAAUUGAAGGAGUUAUAGAAUUAAAGAAUUGUAUCAUAGUAAUUAUAGGAUUAAUUGAAGGAAUUAUAGGAUUAAAGAAUUGUAUCAUGGUAAUUAUAGGAUUAAAGAAUUGUAUCGUCCAUUGCAGACAGGCCGGCCAGCACAACGCCACCGAAGGAGCAGCGGCGCCAAGGUGCUCGUGCUGCAGAGUCCUGGCGGUGGCGCUGCAGGACGUGUGCUCGUGGUGGUCGUCCUGCCUACACCUCGGCACCAAGACCCGUCCUGCCCAGACCUACCCCGAGGGAACCACUGCGACGAGUACGUGAGCCGCGGGUCACCGGGAAGGAGUGGACGCCGGCAUUAUAGAUCUGCUGUAACGGUCAAGUGUGGGGUUCCUGCUAUACCAGUUCUUCAACCUCGUCUUCGGUGGAUCCCAGGACAACAUGGUAAUGUGAGACCCGCGUUACCACACGUCGGCCAGUAAGGAAAGUGUAUCAGAAGAGCUGCUUGAGUUGGAGAGGUGUUAGAGGGCCGAACGGGCACUAUUAAUGUGGGCAAGUGUGCGUUCCUCCUGGCUUGUGUGUAGAUUAGGUGCCCGCCUUCAACUCAAACCAGGAACGCUCUUGCUCAGACUUACAGCACCUCUGCAAUCAUUAGAGCUCUUCUGAUGUACCUCCUCGCCAUUGAGACUGUCAGCUUGGUUUGUUUCUCAGUCACUUCUUGCUGGUCUCGUCACUCAAAUCUGCUAAGCUCUUCCAAUAAUGUCUUUUAGUCUCUCUGGUGGACAUCCCCUCCACCAUCCCAUUCGUUGCUGUUGACUGGAGUGGCCUUGGACUGCACUCUCCCACAUCUGUAAGAGAAGUAAGACUGAGCAAGCACACCCUCUCAAGUAGCUAUCAAAUGACCUCUGUGCUCCUUCCUAUUCCCACUGACCUAGCUCUCUCCCAUUCUUCUAUUCUCUAAGGAUAGUCUCAAUUAUCAUCAAAGCUCACAGACACAUGUAAAUAAUUUUAAGUUUACACAUCAAGAAUCUCUUACUUCCUGCAGUACCCUCACAUAUCUUGUUUUCUCCCCUUCCACAUUCCUCCAAUAUAACACGCCAUUUCGGACUAAACCUUAUCCGUACAUAUUCUCUAUUUUAUGAAACUUGUGCCCUUCUGUACCCUCACUCGCCCAAUACUUUUCCUGCCAAAUUUACUUGCCAUUUAGUCCAUCUAAAUUCUAAAAAAAAACCUACCCCUCUCAACCCUCCAUUAUCCUUUGUCAUUAUUAAAUCAAUAGUGAUCUUUUUAACUUGUCCAUCACAGGGAUAGCAAAUUUGUGAGCACCAUUAUCAGUACCUAUGUAUAGAUAUAUUAAUAAACUUUUCUUGAAAA